GAACGCUGGCGGCAUGCCUUACACAUGCAAGUCGAACGGUAACGCGGGGCAACCUGGCGACGAGUGGCGAACGGGUGAGUAAUACAUCGGAACGUGCCCAGUAGUGGGGGAUAGCCCGGCGAAAGCCGGAUUAAUACCGCAUACGACCUAAGGGUGAAAGGGGGGGAUCGCAAGACCUCUCGCUAUUGGAGCGGCCGAUGUCAGAUUAGGUAGUUGGUGGGGUAAAAGCCUACCAAGCCGACGAUCUGUAGCUGGUCUGAGAGGACGACCAGCCACACUGGGACUGAGACACGGCCCAGACUCCUACGGGAGGCAGCAGUGGGGAAUUUUGGACAAUGGGCGCAAGCCUGAUCCAGCCAUGCCGCGUGCGGGAAGAAGGC
rnacentral:rRNA from 1 species